AACGAACGCUGGCGGCAGGCUUAACACAUGCAAGUCGAACGGGCGUAGCAACACGUCAGUGGCGGACGGGUGAGUAACACGUGGGAAUAUGCCUUUCGGUUCGGAACAACUCGGGGAAACCCGUGCUAAUUCCGGAUACGCCCUUACGGGAAAGAUUUAUCGCCGAAAGAUUAGCCCGCGUUGGAUUAGCUAGUUGGUGAGGUAAAGGCUCACCAAGGCGACGAUCCAUAGCUGGUUUGAGAGAACGACCAGCCACACUGGGACUGAGACACGGCCCAGACUCCUACGGGAGGCAGCAGUGGGAAUCUUGGACAAUGGGCGCAAGCCUGAUCCAGCCAUGCCGCGUGAGUGAUGAAGGCCUUGGUU
rnacentral:rRNA from 1 species